ACCCCAGGUCACCCAGCUUGCUGGGAGGGUUCCUCCGGGGCAGAGGGAGACAUGCCCAAGUCAGACUGGGGAACACCAGCAGUUGACUUCCGUAGCGUUUGCCACCAGUACCAUCUUCCUCUGUAACUGUAUCUUCCCAACUUCUUGUGAAUAUCUCCACCAGAUGUUCCAUCAGCACUUAAAACUCACAUUUCAACACUUGAUCUGAAUUCCUCCAAAUCCCACUUCUUCCCCUGGGCACCUUGAUUCGGUGCUGGCACCACCAUCCACCAGGCAGCCAGAACCAAACUUUGGGCUUCUUCUCACUCUCAUGCUCCCAUGCAAACCACUGUGAAGUCAGGUCAUUGCUCUCUCUGAACUGUCUCCUAAAAUCACCCCUUUUCCCAAUUUCUACCCCUAACUCUCAAGGGAACCCCUCAUCCCCAUCCAUUUUGGCCAGUCUGCCUGGCACACCCUCACCCACGAUCCUUCCUGCAGCACAGAGCUUUCAUACCCUACUCAAGUAUCCAGCACAGGGAAGUUCUUUCCUCCUGGGUGUGGAGCCCAUCAGCACCCGGGUGAGUGUCGAGCCCACCUCCAUGGCACCCUUCUCUCUUGAGUCCCAGACAAACCAAGUGCUCCCAGCUGCCACCUGGCCCUGCUUUUCUGCCCUGCCCUUUGCUCAAGCCAUUUGCACUCAAAGUGACCUGUCCUUCAGGCCCAGCCUGCAUCAGACACACUCUUUCCCAGACCCAGCCCGCAACAGACACACUCUUUCCAAAUCUACAGCAGAGGAGGCCUGGAAGUUGGGUCUGGCUGCUCCAUCCAGGGGUCUUUGCCAAGCAGAUGCUUGACCCUCCUGGGGGGCCCCACUGGCCCCUCCUCCUCUAGUCUACCUAGUGCACCUGUGGUCUCAGAGUCCUCCACACCCAAAUCACCUCCAAGAAUCAAAACUGAAAUUGGGGAAGAAACAGUUCGCAUGCUUCUGAGGGAAAGAACCUAUCCCUCUAGUUCCCAAAUGUGUAGUCAACCCUGCCCGAGGGCUCCUGGAGAGAAGGGGAGGGAAGGGACGUCUGGACACAGGUCUCUUGUUGCACCCGAAGGCCC
rnacentral:lncRNA from 10 species